CACGUAGGGUGCGAGCGUUGUCCGGAAUUAUUGGGCGUAAAGAGCUCGUAGGCGGCGUUUCGCGUCCGCCGUGAAAACCUGCAGCUUAACUGUGGGCUUGCGGUCGAUACGGGCAUCACUGGAGUUCGGCAGGGGAGACGGGAAUUCCUGGUGUAGCGGUGAAAUGCGUAGAUAUCGGGAGGAACACCGGUGGCGAAGGCGGCCUUCUGGACGGAUACUGACGCUGAGACGCGAAAGCGUGGGGAGCAAAUAGG
rnacentral:rRNA from 1 species